GCCACUAAACGUUUUGUAUAUUUAUUUAUUGAUCUAAGAUUUUGAAAAAGAAAAAUAUACGACAAAAAUUAUAUUUUUUCUCCUUUUUGUACUUUAAUAGAUUGGUACAAAGAAAAUAUUUUAUAUGAACAUAAAACACUUUUUUUAUUACUUUGGAAUAUAUAUGUAUAUAUAUGUAUAUAUAUAUGCAAGUAUAUAUGUAUAAAUAUACACACACACAUAUAUAUACAUACAUAUUUGUAUGUAUAUAUGUAUAAAUUUACAUAUAUAUACAUACAUAUGUAUGUAUAAAUAUACAUGUAUAUAUAUAUAUAUAUAUUACAUAUACAUAUAUAAAUAAUGUUUGCAUGCAUGUAUGUAGAUGUGUGCGUCUGUGUGUUUGUGACUGUGCAUCUAUAUAUGUAUUAUGUAAUGACAUAUAAAUAAAAUCGUACAUAUGUAUAUGCACAUGAAUAUAUAUAUAUAUCUUUAUAUCGAUAUGCAUAUAUAUAUAUAUAUAUAUAUAUAUACAUCUUGAGGAUAGAUCAGUGUGCACUACAUGUUUUAUAUAUGCACACAUGCAUCCAUUAAUAUACAUACUAAUAUAUGUAUAUAAAUAUAUAUAUAUAUCCAUUGUUAAUGUCAACGUAAGUGCUUUGAAAUAAAUUGUAUAUGAAAAUAACAUUUAUUUCAAAAUACAUACGUAUUCCAACAUACACAUACGCAUAUAUAUGCAGCUGUAUAUAUAUAUAUGUAUAUAGGCAUAUAAAUGUAUACACACAUACAUAUACGUAUACACAUACAUAUAUGUAUAGAUAUACAUACAUACAUGUGUACAUAUACAUAUAUACAUACAUGCAUGUAUACAUAUACAUACAUGUAUAUAUACAUAUACAUACAUACAUGUAUAUAUAUACAUGUAUAUAUACAUACAUAUAUGUAUAUAUAUACAUGUAUAUAUACAUACAUAUAUGUAUACAUAUACAUGUAUAUAUACAUACAUAUAUGUAUACAUAUACAUAUAUACAUACAUGUAUACAUACACAUAUAUACAUACAUACAUGUAUACAUAUACAUAUAUGUAUAUAUAUGUAUAUGUAUACAUGUAUAUAUGUAUACAUGUAUAUGUAUACAUGUAUGUAUGUAUAUAUGUAUGUAUGUUGUAAUGUAUGAUUACUAAGCAGGAAUCCUAUAAAUAUAUUUACCAAUAUUGAGUGUUGUAAAAUAAAAUGAAAUUUUUGUUUUUUUAAAAAACAGGAAUAUACGAUACAAAAUAUUCAUUCCAGUAAUUGACUUGAUAUUACUAUAUAUUUCUCGCCUCUCUUAAAACAUAAAAAAGAAUAUAAAUUUAAAAAUAAAAACAUUUUACAGACUUUUUAAUGAAUGUUAUACAUUUUCAUGCAAUUUCACUUGAGUUAUUUUGAUUUUUAUAGAUUUUUCACAUACAUAUUUAAAUAUUUAUUGGAAAUAUUUGUUUGAAAUAUUGUUUAAUAUUUUAUGUUAUUUUAUUUUAUUUCUUUUAUACGCUUCUUUUUUUUUCGAAUUUUCGAUUCGGCUACAGUGUAAUAAAAUAUUUAAUUUCAAUAAAAAAAGGAUAUUUCAAAAUAUAAAACAGGAAAUGAUUUUAAUAUUUCGAUGAGAAAUAAAUCAUAACAAGGGAAAAAUAGUUAACAUUUCAAAACACACAACCUCAGUUUCGUAUUUAUUUAUAUAAUUCUCUUUAUUAUUAUUAUGCACAUGGUAUAUUAUAUAUAUAUAUGUAUGUAUACACAUAUAUAUAUAUAUAUAUAUAUAUAUAUAUAUAUAGUUUAUAUAUAUAUAUACAUAUAUAUAUAUAGUUAUAUAUAGAUAGACAUAGAUGUAUACAAAGAUAUAUGUACAUAUAUAUAAAUAUAUAGACACACACACAUAUAUAUAUAUAAUGUAUUUUUAUACAUUUAUGCAUUUCAACUUUAAGGAAUUUCUCAGCUAACAGCUCUAAUUUUUUUUUAAUAAUUUUUUCUAUAGUUGUAUAUUUAUUAAAUGUACCACAAUAUCACAUGUAUCGUACACCAUGAUAAUAUUUAUCUGUUUAUGAUGGAAAAAAAUAUGUUACAAACGUAUACUAAACAUUGAACUACAUGACCACAGGAUAAACGAUGAAGAAAAACUACCAAAUAUUUACUUUUCCAGAAGUUAAUUAAUCAAUUAUAUAGCCUUAUCUCUUUUUUCAAAGAAAUAUGUAGUUUUUAAUAUAUAUACAUAUAUAUAUAUAUAUAUAUAUAUAUAUAUGCACGUUAUAAAUUGUUAAGGAAUAUAUGUAUACAUAUAUGCAUACGUUAUAAAUGUUUGGGAAUAUAUAUAUUUAUAUAUGAACAUAUAUAUAUAUGUACAUUUUUAUACUUAUGUAUGUAUAUAUGUAUGUAUAUAUAUGUAUAUAUAUUUAUGUAUGUAUAUAUAUAUGUAUAUAUAUUUAUGUAUGUAUAUAUAUAUGUAUAUAUAUUUAUGUAUGUAUAUAUAUAUGUAUAUAUAUUUAUGUAUGUAUAUAUAUAUAUUUAUGCAUGUAAAUAUAUAUGUAUAUAUAUUUAUGCAUGUAAAUAUAUAUAUAUAUUUAUGCAUCUAUAUAUAUUUGUAUAUAUAUUUAUGCAUGUAUAUAUAUAAGUAUGUAUAUACAUAUAUAUGUGUAUAUACUAUGUAUAUAUAUAUGUAUAUAUAUAUUAUGUAUAUAUAUGUAUGUGUGUGUGUAUAUAUAUAUAUAUGUAUACAUAAUAUAUAUAUAUGCAAUUUGAAUAUAUAGAUUAAUUUAUGUUUAUAUAUAGCUGCAUAUGAAUUAGUUGAAUUUUCAAAUACUUUGCUCAUUUUUUUUGGACAUCCAAUACGGAUUUCAAAACACAACCAUAUUGUUUUAUCAAAAUAUCCAUUUUCAUGUGGAUUAUUACACACACUAACAUAGAGACACUGUCGGAAACACAUACGUAUGUAUGCAUACAUAUACACAAAACAAAAAAACACACCAUGUUUAAAAUUUGACUGAUUUAUUAUAAAUUAUUUAUUAAAUUAAUUAACUAUGGUUUUGUUAAAAGUAAAUUCCAAAUUCUGAGCCGCUUCAUAUCAACAACUUCAAUACUUGACACUAUGCUGGAAUGAUAAUUUUACGAUCUAGCAAUUCUGAAGUAGUUCUGAUCUUUCCAGAACUUACUCAUUCUGUGUAUUGCAUAUGAGCCCAUAUACGUAAGGAAUACGUACUCAAUAUAUAAAGAUAACAGACGGUGUAAAAUCUCAUUCUUAUUUGCUCAUAUAUACCAUCAUAUAUAUAUAUAUAUAUAUAUAUAUAUAUGUUUGUAUCUAUAUAUUUAUAUUAUAUAAAUAUUGUAUAUAAAAUGCAUAUAUAUGUAUAUAAAUAUAUUAUAUACAUAUUUUAUAAUAUAUAUAUAUAUAUAAAAUAUGUGUGUGUGUAUAUGUAUAUAUAUAUAUAUAUAUAAAUAUGUGUGUGUGUAUAUGUAUAUAUAUAUAUAUAUAUAUAUAUAUAUGUUUGUAUAUAUAUGUAUGUAUAUAUAUAUCGAGCUGAUUAUAUAACUGAAAUUCCACAUGUCAUUGUUGAUAUAACUACGUUCAACUGAAUUUGGCAUUUUAUUGUUUCACACAUAGAAUUAUUAUUAUUAGUAUGAUUAUCAUCAUCAUUAUUAUCAUUAACUUUUAACAAACCAAGGCCAAUUGACAAUACGAUUCAAUAUAUUCAUAUGGGUGUAUUUAUCUGAAGUUACGUUGUGUGUGUUCAUGUUUUCGAACGCUCGUGUUCAUCUGAGUGUCUGAGUGUCACAAAAAGAACUAUUAUAAGAGAAACACAUUAAAAAAAAAUAUAUCAUCAACAUCAUCAUCAUUAUUUCAAUUAUCGCCCCUCAUUUUCAUCACCACCAUCAUAAUCAUCAUCAUAAAAUUCAGUCAGAAUUGGAAGGUGGGAAAUGUGGAAGAAAAACAUUAUUGAAGAUUAGACUUCUUUCUAUAAUCUGAAUUUCCUAUAGAUGAAAACGAUGACAGAGAUGUUGCUGCUGUUGAUGAGGAUGUUGAAAAUAAUAAUAAUAAUAAUCUUUUCUACUGUAGGCACAAGACCUGAAAUUUGGGGGGAAGGGGGAUGAUCGAUUACACCGACCCCAGCGCGUAACUGGUACUUAUUUCAUCGACCCCGAAAGGAUGAAAGGCAUAGUCAACCUCGACAAAAUUUGAACUCAGAACGUAGGGACGGACGAAAUGCUGCUAAGCACUAUGCCCGGCGUGCUAACGAUUCUGCCAGCUCGCUGCCUAAAUAACAACAACAACAAUAAUAAUAAUAAUAAUAAUAUUGCAGUUGUCUUAUUUACAUAAAUGAUCAUGAUGAUGUUAAUCUUAGCAUGGUAUAUAUAUAUAUAUAUAUAUAUAUAUAAACUUUCAAAAAUAAUCGAUAAAAAUGUAUAAUCAAACCAUGUUACUGACACGGUUUGUUAAUAGUUAAAAAUACUUUCAACUAACAAGAAUAACAAUAGCAACAACAAUCAUGAGAACAACAACAAUAACAACAAGAUCAACAACAUGAUUAUUUUAGAACAAUAUAGAAGAAAAAUACAUUUAAAGAUGAAGAAAGUUCAUAAAACACGCGACAGAUAAUGCAAAGUCCAUUUUUUUAACUUCAUUUUUAUAUCUUUUUUUUAUGUUUAAUUUUUGAUUUUGUAUAAGUAUAGUUAUGAUAAUUUUUUUAUUCAUAUAUAUAUAUUAUAUUUUAAUGAAUCUUUUUCUUAAAUGCAAAGGGGAAAUAAUUAUGAAUUGAUAUCACCCAGCUGAUAUCACGAUCGUCCUGUAUGGACUUCUGAAGUUUGGUUCAUCAUUGAAAAAUAUUAAUGAGCUAUUGAAAUUCCCUAAAUUUCUGUAUUGCAGUCUCGUUAUUAUUAUUAUUAUUAUUACUUUUUAAAGGUCUAUGUUUAUAAUGGGCCUUUACAACGCAACUGAACCCAAACUCAGAUCUUAGUGCGUUGGGCUUAUGUAAUGAUUUCUUUUGGUUUUGUGCUUUCUAUUAUUAUUAUUAUUAUCGAUUUGUUUUUAGGCAUGUGUUGCAGACAAUUCUAAUGUGAGGAUGUGGUGUGAAUGGUCACACUGACUUACCAAAAUUUGGCAAG
rnacentral:lncRNA from 1 species